rnacentral:lncRNA from 1 species
AUAAGACUUCUGAUUUGUAUUAUAUUCAUUUUGUCUAUUAAUUUGGGGAGGAUUGACUCUUUUAUAAUAUUAACUUCCAAUUCUGGAUAGAUAUCCAGAAUAUCCUCCCCUUAGGUGCAGGGUACAUGUUCCAAGACCCCCAAAGGAUGCUUGAAUUCACAGAUACCACCAAACCUACAUUUUUUCCUAUACAUACUUGUGAUAAAUUUUAAUUUAUAAAUUAGAUACAAUAAGAGGUUAACAAUAAUUAGUAAUAAAAUAGAACAAUUAAAACAAUAUGUUACAAUAAAAGUGUGACUGCGGUCUCUCUCUCUCUCUCUCUCUCUCUUUCAAAAUAUCUUAUUGAAUAUAGACACCCUUCUUGUGAUGUUGUGAGAUAAAAUGCCUGCAUGUUGAGAUGAAGUGAAGUGAAUGACUAGGCAUUAUGAUGUAGUGUUAGGCAACUGCUGGCCUUCUGACAAUAUGUCAGAAGGAGUAUCAUCUGCUUCAGGCCACAGUUGACCAUGGGCAACUGAAAUUAAAGAAAGCAAAACUGUAGAGGAGGAGGGAAUACUGUAUAGAAUUUUUCAUCACAUGUUUUUUUAAAACUCCAAAUCGAGGUUUCUCGACCACCACCACCAACCCCCACCAACACCAACUCCCACCAACACCAGUAUCCAUUUACCAUUUGGAGGAAAAAGGCUCCCAAGUAUCUGUACCAUUUUCUUUGGUAAGGAAUCUCAUGCUCAGUGAAUCAGGUAAGGCCUGCCUCUCACUAUAUGAACUAAAAAAGCAAAAUGCUUCUCUUCCCAACCCCCUUGAGCUGGGUUAUGGGCACUUGAAUUAGACUCAGCUAAUCAGAUGUGCCCCCAUUUGGACUCUGAGAUAAUGAACCAAAGAUGGAGGACCAAUGAAGAAUUCAUACUUUGACAACGGCACAACAUUCUUCUUCCAGAGAUAAUAUUGCCAUAGCACCGUCCAUAACUGAAUAGAGGAAAAUUCUAUGCAAGCUAUGGAAUAUAGCCUCAACCUCAGAGCAGCACUUGCUCUCCAGACUAAUUUUAUGGUAUGAAUGUCAUGUAAUUCUGAUUGCCUGGCAUCCUUUUUUUUUUUUUUUUU